UGGGGAAUAUUGCGCAAUGGUCGAAAGACUGACGCAGCGACGCCGCGUGGAGGAUGACGCCCUUCGGGGUGUAAACUCCUGUUGCUCGGGACGAACCUCCCCUUUCGAGGGGACUGACGGUACCGAGUGAGGAAGCACCGGCUAACUCUGUGCCAGCAGCCGCGGUAAUACAGAGGGUGCGAGCGUUGUCCGGAAUCACUGGGCGUAAAGGGCGCGUAGGCGGCUUGGUAAGCGUGCGGUGAAAGCUCGGGGCUCAACCCCGAGUCUGCCGUGCGAACUGCCGAGCUGGAGCACGGUAGAGGCACAUGGAAUUCCGGGUGUAGCGGUGGAAUGCGUAGAGAUCCGGAAGAACACCGGUGGCGAAGGCGGUGUGCUGGGCCGUAGCUGACGCUGAUGCGCGACAGCGUGGGGAGCAAACAGGAUUAGAUACCCUGGUAGUCCACGCCGUAAACGAUGGGCACUAGGUCCUUGGGGGAGCGACCCCUUGAGGGCCGUCGCAAGCGCAUUAAGUGCCCCGCCUGGGGAGUACGGCCGCAAGGCUGA
rnacentral:rRNA from 1 species